AACGCGAAGAACCUUACCUGGCCUUGACAUGUACGUAGUAGAAGGGUGAAAGCCUGACGAGGUAGCAAUACCAGCGUACACAGGUGCUGCAUGGCUGUCGUCAGCUCGUGUCGUGAGAUGUUGGGUUAAGUCCCGCAACGAGCGCAACCCUUGUGUCCUGUUGCCACCCCGGCGAGAGUCGGGAGCACUCUGGACAGACUGCCUCGCUUAAACGAGGAGGAAGGUGGGGAUGACGUCAAGUCAGUAUGGCCCUUACGGCCAGGGCUGCACACGUACUACAAUGCCCGGCACAAAGGGAAGCAAGACCGCAAGGUGGAGCAAAUCCCCAAAAACCGGGCCCAGUUCAGAUUGUCGUCUGCAACUCGACGACAUGAAGUUGGAAUCGCUAGUAAUGGCGCAUCAGCUACGGCGCCGUGAAUACGUUCCCGGGCCUUGUA
rnacentral:rRNA from 1 species